rnacentral:rRNA from 1 species
CUCCUACGGGAGGCAGCAGUAGGGAAUCUUCGGCAAUGGACGAAAGUCUGACCGAGCAACGCCGCGUGAGUGAAGAAGGUUUUCGGAUCGUAAAACUCUGUUGUUAGAGAAGAACAAGGAUGAGAGUAAAAUGUUCAUCCCUUGACGGUAUCUAACCAGAAAGCCACGGCUAACUACGUGCCAGCAGCCGCGGUAAUACGUAGGUGGCAAGCGUUGUCCGGAUUUAUUGGGCGUAAAGCGAGCGCAGGCGGUUUCUUAAGCGUGAUGUGAAAGCCCCCGGCUCAACCGGGGAGGGUCAUUGGAAACUGGGAGACUUGAGUGCAGAAGAGGAGAGUGGAAUUCCAUGUGUAGCGGUGAAAUGCGUAGAUAUAUGGAGGAACACCAGUGGCGAAGGCGGCUCUCUGGUCUGUAACUGACGCUGAGGCUCGAAAGCGUGGGGAGCGAACAGGAUUAGAUACCCUGGUAGUCCACGCCGUAAACGAUGAGUGCUAAGUGUUGGAGGGUUUCCGCCCUUCAGUGCUGCAGCAAACGCAUUAAGCACUCCGCCUGGGGAGUACGACCGCAAGGUUGAAACUCAAAGGAAUUGACGGGGGCCCGCACAAGCGGUGGAGCAUGUGGUUUAAUUCGAAGCAACGCGAAGAACCUUACCAGGUCUUGACAUCCUUUGACCACUCUAGAGAUAGAGCUUCCCCUUCGGGGGCAAAGUGACAGGUGGUGCAUGGUUGUCGUCAGCUCGUGUCGUGGGAUGUUGGGUUAAGUCCCGCAACGAGCGCAACCCUUGAUCUUAGUUGCCAUCAUUAAGUUGGGCACUCUAAGGUGACUGCCGGUGACAAACCGGAGGAAGGUGGGGAUGACGUCAAAUCAUCAUGCCCCUUAUGACCUGGGCUACACACGUGCUACAAUGGACGGUACAAAGAGCUGCAAGACCGCGAGGUGGAGCUAAUCUCAUAAAACCGUUCUCAGUUCGGAUUGUAGGCUGCAACUCGCCUACAUGAAGCUGGAAUCGCUAGUAAUCGCGGAUCAGAAUGUCGCGGUGAAUACGUUCCCGGGCCUUGUACACACCGCCCGU